CUUCUCUUUGCCGACCUCUGCAGCCGUUAUGUCCCGUUGUUUGUUUGUGUUUUUUUUUCCUGUAUAAAAUCCGAAGCGUUCCCGAUUGAUCCCACCGACGUCACCGUACCCACGAUAUCCCGAAAUGUUUUUAUCGGCACAACAGGUAUAAUAAUUCGAAAAAAUAGAAUCGUAACAAUAAACACUACGCGUACCAAUUAUUAUACGUUGGCGAAUUUCGAAAAUUAUACAACAUCGCACUGUCAUGUUAUACAAACUCUUAAACUCUUCGGCAGACCAAUAAUAUUUAAAACCGGGAUUUUCGAAGAAAAAUCAUUAUCGAACGAUUUUGUUCGAUAAAUCUCUUAUAAAAUUACAGGCGCAAAUGCCUCGUGACUUGCAUGCUGUGAUUUGACACAUUGUUCAUAUUAUUUCAAAAUCAAAUCGAACAAAAUGUGGGUAUAGUUUUUUUCUUUUUCUUUCUAGAUUCGCAAGAAAGCUGGUACAAUGUAAAUCCCUAAUAUUACCUCGGUAAUAAAGUAAUAAAGUAAGUAAUAAUAAUGCAAAUCGUUUUACCGUUUUACUAGUAUAAUUUAUUUUUUAAUCGGUUUUAUUUAAAUCCCCAAUAAUCGUUAUUUAUAAUAAUAUAUUAAUAUAAUAAUCAUAAUACGGCUGUCAGUUGUCAGUG